rnacentral:rRNA from 1 species
AGCGCAGGUGGUUGUAUAAGUCUGAAGUAAAAGGCAGUGGCUCAACCAUUGUGUGCUUUGGAAACUGUACAACUUGAGUGCAGAAGGGGAGAGUGGAAUUCCGUGUGUAGCGGUGAAAUGCGUAGAUAUAUGGAGGAACACCGGUGGCGAAAGCGGCUCUCUGGUCUGUAACUGACACUGAGGCUCGAAAGCGUGGGAGCAAACA